rnacentral:rRNA from 1 species
GAUGAACGCUGGCGGCGUGCCUAAUACAUGCAAGUCGAGCGAAUGGAUUAAGAGCUUGCUCUUAUGAAGUUAGCGGCGGACGGGUGAGUAACACGUGAGUAACCUGCCCAUAAGACUGGGAUAACUCCGGGAAACCGGGGCUAAUACCGGAUAAUAUUUUGAACUGCAUGGCUCAAAAUUGAAAGGCGGCUUCGGCUGUCACUUAUGGAUGGACCCGCGUCGCAUUAGCUAGUUGGUGAGGUAACGGCUCACCAAGGCAACGAUGCGUAGCCGACCUGAGAGGGUGAUCGGCCACACUGGGACUGAGACACGGCCCAGACUCCUACGGGAGGCAGCAGUAGGGAAUCUUCCGCAAUGGACGAAAGUCUGACGGAGCAACGCCGCGUGAGUGAUGAAGGCUUUCGGGUCGUAAAACUCUGUUGUUAGGGAAGAACAAGUGCUAGUUGAAUAAACUGGCACCUUGACGGUACCUAACCAGAAAGCCACGGCUAACUACGUGCCAGCCGCCGCUGUAA